rnacentral:rRNA from 1 species
AGCCUGAUGCAGCAACGCCGCGUGAGGGACGACGGCCUUCGGGUUGUAAACCUCUUUUAGCAAGGAAGAAGCGAAAGUGACGGUACUUGCAGAAAAAGCGCCGGCUAACUACGUGCCAGCAGCCGCGGUAAUACGUAGGGCGCAAGCGUUAUCCGGAAUUAUUGGGCGUAAAGAGCUCGUAGGCGGUUUGUCGCGUCUGCUGUGAAAACCCGAGGCUCAACCUCGGGCCUGCAGUGGGUACGGGCAGACUAGAGUGCGGUAGGGGAGAUUGGAAUUCCUGGUGUAGCGGUGGAAUGCGCAGAUAUCAGGAGGAACACCGAUGGCGAAGGCAGAUCUCUGGGCCGUAACUGACGCUGAGGAGCGAAAGGGUGGGGAGCAAACAGGCUUAGAUACCCUGGUAGUCCACCCCGUAAACGUUGGGAACUAGUUGUGGGGUCCAUUCCACGGAUUCCGUGACGCAGCUAACGCAUUAAGUUCCCCGCCUGGGGAGUACGGCCGCAAGGCUAAAACUCAAAGGAAUUGACGGGGACCCGCACAAGCGGCGGAGCAUGCGGAUUAAUUCGAUGCAACGCGAAGAACCUUACCAAGGCUUGACAUAUACGAGAACGCUGCAGAAAUGUAGAACUCUUUG